rnacentral:rRNA from 1 species
CAGGCUUAACACAUGCAAGUCGAGGGGCAGCAUGGUCUUAGCUUGCUAAGGCCGAUGGCGACCGGCGCACGGGUGAGUAACACGUAUCCAACCUGCCGUCUACUCUUGGACAGCCUUCUGAAAGGAAGAUUAAUACAAGAUGGCAUCAUGAGUCCGCAUGUUCACAUGAUUAAAGGUAUUCCGGUAGACGAUGGGGAUGCGUUCCAUUAGAUAGUAGGCGGGGUAACGGCCCACCUAGUCUUCGAUGGAUAGGGGUUCUGAGAGGAAGGUCCCCCACAUUGGAACUGAGACACGGUCCAAACUCCUACGGGAGGCAGCAGUGAGGAAUAUUGGUCAAUGGGCGAGAGCCUGAACCAGCCAAGUAGCGUGAAGGAUGACUGCCCUAUGGGUUGUAAACUUCUUUUAUAAAGGAAUAAAGUCGGGUAUGGAUACCCGUUUGCAUGUACUUUAUGAAUAAGGAUCGGCUAACUCCGUGCCAGCAGCCGCGGUAAUACGGAGGAUCCGAGCGUUAUCCGGAUUUAUUGGGUUUAAAGGGAGCGUAGAUGGAUGUUUAAGUCAGUUGUGAAAGUUUGCGGCUCAACCGUAAAAUUGCAGUUGAUACUGGAUAUCUUGAGUGCAGUUGAGGCAGGCGGAAUUCGUGGUGUAGCGGUGAAAUGCUUAGAUAUCACGAAGAACUCCGAUUGCGAAGGCAGCCUGCUAAGCUGCAACUGACAUUGAGGCUCGAAAGUGUGGGUAUCAAACAGGAUUAGAUACCCUGGUAGUCCACACGGUAAACGAUGAAUACUCGCUGUUUGCGAUAUACGGCAAGCGGCCAAGCGAAAGCGUUAAGUAUUCCACCUGGGGAGUACGCCGGCAACGGUGAAACUCAAAGGAAUUGACGGGGGCCCGUACAAGCGGAGGAACAUGUGGUUUAAUUCGAUGAUACGCGAGGAACCUUACCCGGGCUUAAAUUGCAGAUGAAUUACGGUGAAAGCCGUAAGCCGCAAGGCAUCUGUGAAGGUGCUGCAUGGUUGUCGUCAGCUCGUGCCGUGAGGUGUCGGCUUAAGUGCCAUAACGAGCGCAACCCUUGUUGUCAGUUACUAACAGGUUCCGCUGAGGACUCUGACAAGACUGCCAUCGUAAGAUGUGAGGAAGGUGGGGAUGACGUCAAAUCAGCACGGCCCUUACGUCCGGGGCUACACACGUGUUACAAUGGGGGGUACAGAGGGCCGCUACCACGCGAGUGGAUGCCAAUCCCCAAAACCUCUCUCAGUUCGGACUGGAGUCUGCAACCCGACUCCACGAAGCUGGAUUCGCUAGUAAUCGCGCAUCAGCCACGGCGCGGUGAAUACGUUCCCGGGCCUUGUACACACCGCCCGUCAAGCCAUGGGAGCCGGGGGUACCUGAAGUGCGUAACCGCGAGGAGCGCCCUAGGGUAAAACUGGUGACUGGGGCUAAGU